rnacentral:rRNA from 1 species
UUGGCCUCAAAUCAGGUAGGACUACCCGCUGAACUUAAGCAUAUCAAUAAGC